rnacentral:rRNA from 1 species
GACGAACGCUGGCGGUGUGCUUAACACAUGCAAGUCGAACGGUAAGGCCCUUUCGGGGGUACACGAGUGGCGAACGGGUGAGUAACACGUGAGUAACCUGCCCUCAUCUCUGGGAUAACAGUCGGAAACGGUUGCUAAUACUGGAUAUGAGCUUGCAAGGCAUCUUGUGGGUUGGAAAGAUUUUUUUGGUUGGGGUUGGACUCGCGGCCUAUCAGCUUGUUGGUGAGGUAGUGGCUCACCAAGGCUUCGACGGGUAGCCGGCCUGAGAGGGCGACCGGCCACAUUGGGACUGAGAUACGGCCCAAACUCCUACGGGAGGCAGCAGUGGGGAAUAUUGCACAAUGGACGGAAGGCUGAUGCAGCAACGCCGCGUGCGGGAUGACGGCCUUCGGGUUGUAAACCGCUUUCAAUUGUGACGAAGCUUUUUGUGACGGUAGCAGUAGAAGAAGCACCGGCUAACUACGUG